CAGACCUGUAAACCUUGUCGUCGUCGUCGUCGACGACGGUGUCACCGUGCCGCGCCAAGAGUAUUUGUGACGGCGAAGGCCGGCGCCGGAGUGAGGGGCAGCUGCCAACGCUGGAACCUGUGUGACAGUUGUAAAUGACUGGCCCAAUCGUCUCCUUGUAGUAAUUAUCUAAAUGGGCUCAUUCAAAACCUCUUCAUUGUGGAAUCAGUUAAUUAAUUAGCUGUUUCACUGACAGGAUAAUGCAUCUAUAACAGCCACCCAUAUACUCACUGGAAAUCCCCCCCGCAAGAUACAAAGCUGCUGAUAAGGCAACACAAUGCUGAUGUUGAGUCGAGGAGAAAGUAAUAUCAGGCAGAACAGGUGUCCUGAAGCUCCGCUUACCGAACCAAUCAGCAUGCGUUACGCAUACGGGCGUGGUUUAUGGGCAAACUCCGUUCAAAACAACAAUGGCGGAUGUGACAGACAG